UCUCCCAUCCCAGUACUAACCAGGCCCAACCCUGCUUAGCUUCUGAGAUCAGAUGAGAUCAGGCACAUUCAGGGUGGUAUGGCCAUAGAC
rnacentral:sRNA from 1 species